rnacentral:misc_RNA from 1 species
UCUCCGUAGGUGAACCUGCGGAGGGAUCAUUACAGAGUUCAUGCCCUACCGGGUAGAUCUCCCCCCCUGUGUUAUUAUUACUUUGUUGCUUUGGCGGGCCGUUAGGCUCCGGCCCGACUACCGGCCCCGGCUGGUAAGCGCCCGCCAGAGGACCCAAAACCCUGAAUAUUAGUGUCGUCUGAGUACUAUAUAAUAGUUAAAACUUUCAACAACGGAUCUCUUGGUUCUG